CCUACGGGAGGCAGCAGUGAGGAAUAUUGGUCAAUGGCCGUAAGGCUGAACCAGCCAAGUCGCGUGAAGGAUGAAUGAUCUAUGGUUUGUAAACUUCUUUUAUAUGGGAAUAAAGUUCUCCACGUAUACAUCUUUGCAUGUACCCUAUGAAUAAGCAUCGGCUAACUCCGUGCCAGCAGCCGCGGUAAUACGGAGGAUGCGAGCGUUAUCCGGAUUUAUUGGGUUUAAAGGGUGCGUAGGCGGUAUUUUAAGUAAGUGGUAAAAGUUGGGGGCUUAACCUUGAUUUGCCAUUAAGACUGGAGUACUAGAGUACAGAAGAGGUAGGCGGAAUACGUGAUGUAGCGGUGAAAUGCUUAGAUAUAACGAAGAACUCCGAUAGCGAAGGCAGCUUGCUAGACUGUAACUGACGCUGAUGCACGAGAGCGUGGGUAGCGAACAGGAUUAGAUACCCGGGUAGUC
rnacentral:rRNA from 1 species